rnacentral:rRNA from 1 species
AUUGAACGCUGGCGGCAGGCCUAACACAUGCAAGUCGAGCGGAUGAAGGGAGCUUGCUCCUGGAUUCAGCGGCGGACGGGUGGGUAAUGCCUAGGAAUCUGCCUGGUAGUGGGGGAUAACGUCCGGAAACGGGCGCUAAUACCGCAUACGUCCUGAGGGAGAAAGUGGGGGAUCUUCGGACCUCACGCUAUUAGAUGAGCCUAGGUCGGAUUAGCUAGUUGGUGGGGUAAAGGCCUACCAAGGCGACGAUCCGUAACUGGUCUGAGAGGAUGAUCAGUCACACUGGAACUGAGACACGGUCCAGACUCCUACGGGAGGCAGCAGUGGGGAAUAUUGGACAAUGGGCGAAAGCCUGAUCCAGCCAUGCCGCGUGUGUGAAGAAGGUCUUCGGAUUGUAAAUCACUUUAAGUUGGGAGGAAGGGCAGUAAGUUAAUACCUUGCUGUUUUGACGGUACCAAAAGAAUAAGCACCGGCUAACUUCGUG